AUACGGAGGGCGCAAGCGUUGCCCGGAAUCACUGGGUGUAAAGGGUGCGUAGGCGGGGCUGUAAGUCAGAGGUGAAAGCCAUCGGCUCAACCGGGGCAUUGCCUCUGAUACUGCAGCUCUUGAGUCCCGGAGAGGCCGCUGGAAUUCCUGGUGUAGCGGUGAAAUGCGUAGAUAUCAGGAGGAACACCGGAGGCGAAGGCGGGCGGCUGGACGGGGACUGACGCUGAGGCACGAAAGCGUGGGGAGCAAACAGGAUUAGAAACCCCAGUAGUCC
rnacentral:rRNA from 1 species